CCAGAUCGUUUACCGUGAAAAAAUUAGAGUGUUCAAAGCAGGCAGAUCCAAUUUUCUGCCACCGAAUACAUUAGCAUGGGAUAAUGGAAUAGGACCCUGUCCUCCUAUUUUCAGUUGGUUUUGGCAGCGCGAGGACUAGGGUAAUGAUUAAUAGGGAUAGUUGGGGGCAUUAAUAUUUAAUUGUCAGAGGUGAAAUUCUUGGAUUUAUGAAAGAUUAACUUCUGCGAAAGCAUCUGCCAAGGAUGUUUUCAUUAAUCAAGAACGAAAGUUAGGGGAUCGAAGACGAUCAGAUACCGUCGUAGUCUUAACCAUAAACGAUGCCGACCAGCGAUUAGGAGACGUUGAAUACAAAACACCACCAUCGGCGCGGUCGUCCUUGGC
rnacentral:rRNA from 1 species